rnacentral:rRNA from 1 species
AUUGAACGCUGGCGGCAUGCUUUACACAUGCAAGUCGAACGGCAGCGGGGGCUUCGGCCUGCCGGCGAGUGGCGAACGGGUGAGUAAUGCAUCGGAACGUACCCAUGUCGUGGGGGAUAACGUAGCGAAAGCUACGCUAAUACCGCAUACGCCCCGAGGGGGAAAGCGGGGGAUUCUUCGGAACCUCGCGCGAUUGGAGCGGCCGAUGUCGGAUUAGCUAGUAGGUGAGGUAAAGGCUCACCUAGGCGACGAUCCGUAGCGGGUCUGAGAGGAUGAUCCGCCACACUGGGACUGAGACACGGCCCAGACUCCUACGGGAGGCAGCAGUGGGGAAUUUUGGACAAUGGGCGAAAGCCUGAUCCAGCCAUGCCGCGUGAGUGAAGAAGGCCUCGGUGUAAGCUCUUUGUCUAGGGAAGAACAGCAGCUCUAACACAGUCUGCGAAUGACGGUACCUGAAGAAUAAGCACCGGCUAACUACGUGCCA